rnacentral:rRNA from 1 species
GAUGAACGCUGGCGGCGUGCCUAACACAUGCAAGUCGAACGGAGCUGCUUUGAUGAAGUUUUCGGAUGGAUUUAAAACAGCUUAGUGGCGGACGGGUGAGUAACGCGUGGGUAACCUGCCUCACACUGGGGGAUAACAGUUAGAAACGACUGCUAAUACCGCAUGACACAUUGGGGUCGCAUGGCUCUGAUGUCAAAGAUUUAUCGCUGAAAGAUGGCCUCGCGUCUGAUUAGCUAGUUGGUGAGGUAACGGCCCACCAAGGCGACGAUCAGUAGCCGGACUGAGAGGUUGACCGGCCACAUUGGGACUGAGAUACGGCCCAGACUCCUACGGGAGGCAGCAGUGGGGAAUAUUGCACAAUGGGGGAAACCCUGAUGCAGCGACGCCGCGUGAGCGAAGAAGUAUUUCGGUAUGUAAAGCUCUAUCAGCAGGAAGAAAAAAUGACGGUACCUGACUAAGAAGACCCCGGCUAACUACGUGCCAGCA